ACAGUCACACAGACCAGCCGCCCAGACAGGCCUCAGACAAGUCAGGAUGAGGCUGGGAUUGCAGGUUCUGCUUCUGGAAGCCGACCUCCUGUAAGGCGCCCAUAACAGGGCUUGGGCCACUUACCCAGGAGGCCAAGUAAGACACGGCGUCUUGGCUCGGAUUCUGCGGCUCCAUCAUCCCCACCCAGGCGAAGACUUUCGGCAGUGUCACCCCAGCCACCACUGGCACUAUUGGCGAGUUCUCAGAGUGAUGAGCCCCGAUCACCUCAGUUAUCUGAGCACAGCUUGAUGGCCGACGUGGACCAGCAGGGCCAAGAACAACAGCCAACCAUCACACUGCAACUUACAGCUGUUGACCCAAGCCAGCCAAUACAGUUGCAGGAUAUCCCCCAAGCAUCCAUCAGUCCACAACUGGCACAAGCUCCGCCACCAAGCCAAAUUCCUGAUGAUUUUUGGGCCAGUUGGACAAGCCAACAGGCCCAAAGCAAUGCCAGCCUGACCGCACAUACACAACACCUUGCCAGUCUGCCCCAUCAUCUACCGCGUAUUAGUCGCAACUCGGGCAGACUGAUAGUACAAGUAGGGCGAAUGGCUACCUCAAUGGAGCAAAUUAGGGCUGACAACAGCCAAAUGCUUGCACAUUUAUCCCGCAUCAUAGAUGAGCAACAGCGACAUCAGCAGGCACUCGUUCAGCUCAUUCAACACAAUCAAGUGGUGAAUGAGUCCUUAUCCAGGAUUGUAGCCAGCCACACUGCUACUAACACUCAGCUGAUUGCAAGCCUAAAUCAUUUGAGCAGCAAUAUUUCUCUGAUGGGAGCUCAGCAAGUAAGCUCCAGCUCGGGGACCACGACCCCUAUCCAAACGCCAGUAACCUCCCCUGUUCGGCGUUCCUCAAGAGCACGUGCCAGUGAGCCAGCACACACAAGCGAAAAAAAUAACAACAAUGUUAUUUGAAAAAAAAAAAAAAAUUAUUUGUCAAACACACAACUUCCUGUGUCCGUCUACAACAUUGUCGAAGCUGCUCUGUAUGUAUGUAUGUUUUUCAUGGGUAAUGACUGAAAAUGGAUUUUAAGCAUAAACUAAGCACAAUGUACACACCACUAUAACCAACAAACAGUAAUGAACAAAACACACAAUAGAAAGUAGUGCAAAGUGUUGAGUCAAGGAUAAUUACAGCCUAAUAAAACUGACCUGAAAAAUAUCGCUGGAUCACUUCUUGCCGUACCUGCCUCCCUACAUUUGUACUCACACUGUCACCAGAUGUUUCUAACUCCUCUGCUUGCUGACUGCUU